rnacentral:rRNA from 1 species
GACGAACGCUGGCGGCGUGCUUAACACAUGCAAGUCGAACGGAAAGGCCCUGCUUUUGUGGGGUGCUCGAGUGGCGAACGGGUGAGUAACACGUGAGUAACCUGCCCUUGACUUUGGGAUAACUUCAGGAAACUGGGGCUAAUACCGGAUAGGAGCUCCUGCUGCAUGGUGGGGGUUGGAAAGUUUCGGCGGUUGGGGUUGGACUCGCGGCUUGUCAGCUUGUUGGUGGGGUAGUGGCUUACCAAGGCUUUGACGGGUAGCCGGCCUGAGAGGGUGACCGGACACAUUGGGACUGAGAUACGGCCCAGACUCCUACGGGAGGCAGCAGUGGGGAAUAUUGCACAAUGGGCGGAAGCCUGAUGCAGCAACGCCGCGUGCGGGAUGACGGCCUUCGGGUUGUAAACCGCUUUCGCCUGUGACGAAGCGUGAGUGACGGUAAUGGGUAAAGAAGCACCGGCUAACUACGUG